rnacentral:rRNA from 1 species
GACGAACGCUGGCGGCGUGCUUAACACAUGCAAGUCGAACGAAGUGGCGAACGGGUGAGUAACGCGUAAUCAACCUGCCCUUCAGAGGGGGACAACAGUUGGAAACGACUGCUAAUACCGCAUACUGAAGGAGGUGAUUGCGUCUGAUUAGCUAGUUGGAGGGGUAACGGCCUACCAAGGCGAUGAUCAGUAGCCGGUCGUGGUGGAUGAACGGCCACAUUGGGACUGGGACACGGCCCAGACUCCUACGGGAGGCAGCAGUGGGGAAGCUUCCGCAAUGGACGAAAGUCUGACGGAGCAACGCCGCGUGAGGGAUGACGGCCUUCGGGUUGUAAAGCUCUGUUAAGCGGGACGCGGUACCGGAAUAGAAAGCCACGGCUAACUACGUGCCAGCAGCCGCGGUAAUUC